UACGUAGGUGGCGAGCGUUGUCCGGAUUUACUGGGCGUAAAGAGCGCGCAGGCGGUCGUUCAAGUCGCGUGUGAAAGCCCCCGGCUCAACCGGGGAGGGUCAUUGGAAACUGGGGAACUUGAGUGCAGAAGAGAAGAGUGGAAUUCCACGUGUAGCGGUGAAAUGCGUAGAGAUGUGGAGGAACACCAGUGGCGAAGGCGACUCUUUGGUCUGUAACUGACGCUGAGGCGCGAAAGCGUGGGGAGCAAACAGG
rnacentral:rRNA from 1 species